UGAGUCCUAAUUUUGUCCAAUCUGUCAGAACACCGUCGAAUUCCUCGUAGUCACCACACCUUUGUGAUUCCUGAACCUGGAGGGGCGCAAAACCAAAAUUGAGUGGGUCAGUAAAACAAUUCUUUUUCCAAAUCCAAACAUUUCUCAAAACGUUGUAACCCCUCUCCGUAAAACCUGUAUACUUUCCCAGAAAUGUAAAAUAUAAAUAUACAUAUAUAUUCUCAAGACUUCAAGUCGUUAACUCAACAUUUUCAUAACAAUUAUGCCAUGCCACAUCAUCUCAACAGUAAUAAGGUAUGAAUGCAUCAACAUAAUCAUAUCAGGUGCAAGAAAGUAAUCAACCGUAGGCCCUCUAAUAGCCCUGUACGGUUGAACCUAGAGCUCAAAAUCUAUCAUUAUCACUCUACCGGAGUCACCUCUGUGACCCGUCCGGCCUUCUGCACACAAGUUACGCUCUAGUGCUUCUCAUAAAUCAUCUGUGCACAUAAUCUAAGGUCACCCACCAGUCGGAAUCUCACUAACACUCUCGCGACUGGUCUGUCGUACCCACUCCGCGUGGACUGUACGACUAGCAUCUACUUGGAUCCAAGGCGAGCGUGCGAUGUGGUGAAUACUAUAAGCACUAAACCAUGGUGCAGGAUUUGAGCUCAAUAUAUAUCAUCAUCAUCAUAACAGUAAUUAAAUACUCAUCUGUGCGUCCACCGCACCAUUUCAUACAUAUGCAUCAUAAAUCAAUUCUUACCUGUGCGUCCACCGCACCAAUUCAUACAUAUGCAUCAUAAAUCAAUUCUUACCUGUGCGUCCACCGCACCAAUUCAUACAUAUGCAUCAUAAAUCAAUUCUUACAUGUGCGUCCACCGCACCAAUUCAUACAUAUGCAUCAUAUAUUAAUUCAUGCAUGGCAUUUCAACUCACAUUUCUAUAUACUUUUCAUAUCAAUUCUAUGCAUGGUAUUUCACUUCCCGUUUUUCCACAUAACUCAUAUGCAUUUCAUUUUAAACAUAUUUUCAUUUCAAUUCAAUUUCUGGGAAACGUCAAGUAUAUAUAUAUACGGAAAACAAAACUGCCCACUCACCUGGAGUUCGUCCAACAACUCCCUAGCACCACACAUCAAGGCGUCAUGACGAUCGCCGCCUAGAAUAGUAAUAGUAAUCAAAUCCAGGCUCAGAAUUCAUAUCGAUAGAAUACAUAACUUAUAUAAAAUACGUCACUACGUUGAUCGAUCCGGAAGAUCUGCCACUCAGAUUUUAAAUCCAUAACUUCCAGAGGUCCACAUUAUACCUCUAGGACAACAUCCUAAAAUUUCAUUACCAUCCAACGGUCGGAUCUCCGUCAAUUUCCAAAACUAAGUGACGGUUAACAUUUUAUAUUAUGGACUUACAAUUCCAAUUCCGGAAGAUCCGUAACUCGGAUUCCCAAUCCGUAAGUUCCAAUAAUCCUCAAAUAUUACGUAUUACAACGUAUCAAAUUUUGGUGACGAUCCAACGGUCGGAUCAUCAAUUCACAUUUUCACCUAAAUGUGAAAACUAUAAAACGUUAUUUGAACACCUAACCAACAAUCCUCAAUAACUUUCUCAUACGGUGUUCAAUUUAGGUAUAUGAAUAUACCACAGUGAUCUACUCGACGUCACGGACGUCGACAUAUUUUUAAAAUAAUUUUAUUUUUAUUUUUUAUUUUUACUGUAGCACCUUCUUCUUCCUUGGGUCGCCGGACUGGUUUUUCCGGCGGCCGUUUUCCGGGCAGUUUUUCAAAUUGCCAUAACUUUGUCAUUUCUCAACGAAAUCAAGUGAUUCAAAAACGAAAGUUGUAGCCCUUGAAGAGAAAAAGAGAAUGGUACCUUGCACAACACCUAGUUCGCCGUGGUUUGGCCGGAAACUUCCUCGAAAGCCUCGGAGGUCGCCGGAAACUGGGUAUUUUUCAAAUGAGUAUAACUUCUUCAAUACUCAACGAAAUUGAGUGAAACAAAAAGGAAAGUUGUAGUACUUGACGAGACGAAGAGAUUGAUACCUACCUCGACUCCUAACUCGCCGGGUAUUCGCCGGAAAACGCCUCGAAAGCUCCGGCCAAACUUUGAACUUGUCGAUCUCCGUGUUCUUACGUCCAAAAACUUCCAACGAAGCACUCCGAGCUUCCUUGGGACCUUACUAAACUCGCUGUGAUCUUGUUUUAGCCUAAAACGUAACCAAUUCAAAGCUCAUGAACAGUGUCAUCUCACGGCAACUUUAGAACUAGGGUUUUCGAAGUGAAACUCACCUGAAAUUGGUAUCCCCGUGCUCGUGAAGUCCCCAGGAUCACGAUGGUGGUCUUAAAUGGAACGUUGGUACAAGAUUGUGGUGGUUCUUGGUGGUUGCCGUGAGUUCGAGAGUAAGAGAGAGAAUGAGAGAGUUUCAGAAAAGAAUAAGAGAGAGAGAGAGUCUGGAAUGAAAGAAGAAGAGAGAAGAAAGGUUACGGGUUUUAGGGAGGGAAUUCAGGGUAGGAGGCCCUACCUAAGUCCAAGCACAAAUUAACACAUACAAAUAUAAAUCUAACCCUAGUUUAGGAUCUUAAAGUAAAACAAAUGUCAUACAUUUACACACCUUAAUCCCGUUUAAGGUCACAUUGGUCAUCUCACGUCCUCGGAAUUAAUAAUUCCGGGACGGGCUGUGACAAUCUCCCCUCCUUAUAGAAUUUCGUCCCCGAAAUUCCAAUCACCAACCAGAACAUCAAAACUCAUAAAAUAGUCUCGGAUACAUAACUCUCAUCCGUUCUUCUGUCUCCCAUGUAAUUUUCUACUGAAUGAUUUCCUUCACAAAGCUUUUACUACUUACUCUGUCUUAAUUCUUAGGACCUUCUUUUUCCAAUCCAAAGUCGACAUUAGUUCCUCACCAAUCAGAUCCGGCUUAAUUCUCAAUAGUUGCACCAAAGUCCCAUGUAACGACUCUGCCACUUAGUGACAACGCAUCGAACACAAAAUACAUUAUGUGCCUUAGCCAAUUCUGAAGGCAUCACAAACUUGUAUGCAAGUUUAUUGAUUCCUUUAGUGAAAAAAAAAAAUGGUCUGAUGUGUCUAAAUCUUAUCUUGUCUCUUUUCCAAUUCUCGUCAUUUCUGUUCGCGGUGAAUUUUCCAAAAAUAUCAAACCAUUUACCUUACACACUCGAUUAGUGGCAUAUCCAUCUGUUGAUCUCUUUUUGCCAUUCCUGGUUACUUCAGGUUAACUUAAUCACCUGAAUACUUUGAGGAGACUCAUCCAUAGUCUCAGGGUCUACUAAAACUCUUUCUUGAUCGAAUCUUUCUCUACCCAGAAACAUUCCAUUCACAAGUCAUCAAAAACCGACUCACGUGACACAUUUCAUGGUCCUUAUGGCGUUACUUCGGAAACUGCACAACCAACAUACUUAAGAAACUUAGCAGUUCCGUAAUCCAAUUCUCUUUUCCAUAAAACAAAUUAGUAAUGUUGCACUGUCUGGGAAAGGUUGUUACUCAACACUGGAGUAAAUGUACUAACUUGUUACUUAACAAGUAUAACUUCUUCUCGAUCUUCCAUUCUUAACUUUACUUUAGUUGGUUUCCAAUCCACAAGAAGAUAAUCUUGGCAAACGUGCCAGACAUUAAUCUUACUGUAGUCUUCUCGCCAAGUGCUUGAGCUAGAACAAACUUUACGAUCACCCUGAUCGUACAAUCAUGUUCAUUAAACAAUACAAUUCACUUUCGCUGCCUCAUAUCAAAUUCCUUCCAAGUAAUGGAUAUUGAAGACUUUUUGGAUUCGUAAAAAAAAAUCUUGCAUUCCCACUAAAAUAUAAUGUCUCCAUAACUUCACAGCACGAAUGGUAAUCGUGACUUCCAAAUCACCAGUAGGGUAAUUCAUCUUAUGAGAUUCCAUUUAUCGUGAAACGUAUGCAAUCACCCUAACAUUUGCAUCAACAUGCAUCCAAUACCAUUCAAGAAACAUCACUAAAAAUUUAUGAUUACCAUUAUUCUCUGGGAUUACCAAAAUACGUGCAUGAGUGAGGAAAUACUUCAGUUGUUGAAUCCUUUGCUUACAAUUCCUUCCCACUCAUACCUAACCUCUUUUCUCAACAGUCUCGUCAAUGACAAAGCAAUGACUGAAAAAUCUUUCACAACCAUCCAAGAUAGCCUGGUAAGCUAAGAAAUUCCAAAUCUCAAUUACGACUCGUGGUUGUUCCAAAUUUUAAUUUCUGUUACCUUUUAAGGAUUCACUUGAAUACCUUAAGAAUAUAUAACAUAUCCCAGAAAUGCUGCUUGAUUCAUCCAACAUUCGCAUUUGCUAAACUUAGCAUACAACCAACGUUCUCUUAAUCUUUGCUUCACCGACUUAAUACGUUUACAUGCUCUGCUCUAGGCUUAGAGUAUACCAGAAUAUCUUCAAUGAAAAUGAUAUCUAUUUAUCAAGGCAUUAUUGGAAUACUUCAUCCAAUAACUCAUAAAACAGCAUGAGUAUCCAUAUAGCAUCACCAAACUUCAUAAAGACUAUAACGAGUCCAGAAAACCAUCUUAUGAUCAAUGUCACUUAUAAUAUUCAAUUGGUAGUAACCAGAUCUCAAUUCAAUCUUUGAAUCUUCGCAAUUACUUCUGAGCUGGUUAAAUAAACAUCAGUACAUCACCAUGGAUAACGGUUCUCAAUCGUUACCCGACUCCAUUGUCUAUAAUCAAUGAACAGUCUCAAGAUCCAUUUUCUUCCUCACCAACAAACUGGGGCUCCUCAAAAGUGUUGUACUAGGUUGAAUAAAACUUUUAUCAACCAAUUCCCUCAACUGAAUUUCCAAUUCCCUUAACUCAUCAUGAACCAAUCUCCAAUAUAAAUUUAUACCUGGCAACAAAUCAAUAGUGAACCUCAUAUCUCUGCCUGAAGGCAAUCCAGGUAUACUUUCAGGGAAGACAUCAAGAAAAGUCUAACUCUUUCGACAUUAUUCACACUACUCCAAACAACAUCAUUUAGCACCACAUGAGCUAAGUAUUUUUGACAGCCUUUCGAAAACAAUCUCUUUGCUCUCACAACAUAAAUAAUGGCUGAACUCAAUCCAUUUUGCAUACUUACAAAAGUAAUCUCUGUUCAUCCAGAUCGAUGGAAAGUACUGGUUUCCCAUAACAUUUCGUCUUGUCACAAUUAUAACCAACCAAUCUAAUGGAAAUAAUUUAACCGACACAAUACAUACUCUAUUACUACUAAGCAUUCUGAAUAAGUACAAAAUAAUCUACCGGUUUACUUACUUAACGAAUCCACGAAUGAGUUAUUAAUAUUACGGUCUGCAGCCCGCAAUACUGAUAAAUCAUCGUUGUCUCGAUAAGUAGGCAACCACUCUCAAAGAUAUAACAUUACUAUUUUGUCACUCAAUGCAAAAUACAUACACUCAUCUCAACUACAUUUAUUUACUACUCUCAAGGUAAUAACAUACAUAAUAAGAAAUAUAUCAGCCGAAGUCAACUAGAAUGAUCAAUACGACUGAUUCAACUCUUAUCUCAAUAAUACGUCGGCCGGAUCCACUCCGCGUGGUCGGUACGGCCGAGCCUAUAACUCACAAAUUUCGCAUGUGUCAAUCGAAUCCACUUCUCGUGGCCUGUACGGCUGAACAUAUAACUCAUCAAAUUUCUCUGUACUCACAGUCAAUCCGACCAAACUACUAAGUUUAUAACUCUUCUGAAUCGACACUAUGAUAUCAUGGAAAAUUAUUGAGUACAACUGAUUCUAGGGACGAUUCACAAUUCUGUGUCCCCUCUGUUCACAUAAACACAUUCAUUAAUUUCACACUUCCCAAAGUGUUAAUUUUUGUACCUGCAGCACAAGGUACAUUUCCUUUACUCGAGACACCUUGUCUCAAAUAUCUGGGAUUACCAGUAUAUCCAUCACUUUUAUUCUGACCAGCGACAUUAAAACCUCAGCUGGAAAAAUUAACUCUAGCUUCACUUCUUUCGAAGCUCUGAAUCUUUCUAUAUCCUUGAUAUGACGAAUCAUUAACUUUAUCGUCUUCUUUUAAUUCCUAUUCUUUUCUUAUUCUUCUUUAUUCUCGUUGCUCAUGUUCUCAGAGUCCUCAAGAUUCAACAACAUCUAGCAUACUCCUGAUAAGAACUACAAUGGAUAGUGGUCACCCAAAAUACCACUUCCCUUUUGUCACCCAGCUUAAAACAACAUAACACCUCCACCAAAUUAACAACAAUAUCUGGAUGGAACGAGGCUAGUCUGAAAACUUUCUAUAAUAUCCCUCGAUCAUCACCUUCCUUGUCUCAUAUUUGUAAAUUCUUGUUUACUACCAUCGAUAAAUGCCGGAGGGAUAAACUUUUCCUUUAAACAAGUCCUUAAACAAUUCUCAAUCGACUGAUUCCUCUGGUGACAACAAUUCAUACUCCUGUUUCCACCAGGAUACAAAUUCAUAACCAAAACCAGGUAGUCGUCUCGACCCCCUGUCAGAAGGAAAUUUCCUUUGACUUGCAUAAUCUGAAACAUCUUUUCCAAAUGGUUAAACCGUUACUUCGCUCUCUCAGGUUCAUCAUUUCAUAAGGUGAUUCAAGUUCAACUCAUUACCCAUCUUAAAAUGUCCCUUUAGACAAUAGACUGAAUCACCAUAGUAAUAGUUUCCCCCUAAACCGCUAAAUCAGGGAGACUAAGUUCCUCUAACUACGUGGCUUGCUACGAGGCGGUGUAGUUCUGACAGAAUUCACUAGAACUUCUCAAGAUGUCCAAGAUUGCAACCAUGCUCUGAUACCAACUGACACACCCCGUCCCGAAGGAGGGCAUGCUGGCCGUCACGUGAGAGUGACGUAACCAUUUGCACAGUACGGAAGCUUUAAGAUACAAUUUAUAAGUUGAUACACCCGAAGGUGAGUCCUAAUUUUGUCCAAUCUGUCAGAACACCGUCGAAUUCCUCGUAGUCACCACACCUUUGUGAUUCCUGAACCUGGAGGGGCGCAAAACCAAAAUUGAGUGGGUCAGUAAAACAAUUCUUUUUCCAAAUCCAAACAUUUCUCAAAACGUUGUAACCCCUCUCCGUAAAACCUGUAUACUUUCCCAGAAAUGUAAAAUAUAAAUAUACAUAUAUAUUCUCAAGACUUCAAGUCGUUAACUCAACAUUUUCAUAACAAUUAUGCCAUGCCACACAUCAUCUCAACAGUAAUAAGGUAUGAAUGCAUCAACAUAAUCAUAUCAGGUGCAAGAAAGUAAUCAACCGUAGGCCCUCUAAUAGCCCUGUACGGUUGAACCUAGAGCUCAAAAUCUAUCAUUAUCACUCUACCGGAGUCACCUCUGUGACCCGUCCGGCCUUCUGCACACAAGUUACGCUCUAGUGCUUCUCAUAAAUCAUCUGUGCACAUAAUCUAAGGUCACCCACCAGUCGGAAUCUCACUAACACUCUCGCGACUGGUCUGUCGUACCCACUCCGCGUGGACUGUACGACUAGCAUCUACUUGGAUCCAAGGCGAGCGUGCGAUGCGGUGAAUACUAUAAGCACUAAACCAUGGUGCAGGAUUUGAGCUCAAUAUAUAUCAUCAUCAUCAUAACAGUAAUUAAAUACUCAUCUGUGCGUCCACCGCACCAUUUCAUACAUAUGCAUCAUAAAUCAAUUCUUACCUGUGCGUCCACCGCACCAAUUCAUACAUAUGCAUCAUAAAUCAAUUCUUACCUGUGCGUCCACCGCACCAAUUCAUACAUAUGCAUCAUAAAUCAAUUCUUACAUGUGCGUCCACCGCACCAAUUCAUACAUAUGCAUCAUAUAUUAAUUCAUGCAUGGCAUUUCAACUCACAUUUCUAUAUACUUUUCAUAUCAAUUCUAUGCAUGGUAUUUCACUUCCCGUUUUUCCACAUAACUCAUAUGCAUUUCAUUUUAAACAUAUUUUCAUUUCAAUUCAAUUUCUGGGAAACGUCAAGUAUAUAUAUAUACGGAAAACAAAACUGCCCACUCACCUGGAGUUCGUCCAACAACUCCCUAGCACCACACAUCAAGGCGUCAUGACGAUCGCCGCCUAGAAUAGUAAUCAAAUCCAGGCUCAGAAUUCAUAUCGAUAGAAUACAUAACUUAUAUAAAAUACGUCACUACGUUGAUCGAUCCGGAAGAUCUGCCACUCAGAUUUUUAAAUCCAUAACUUCCAGAGGUCCACAUUAUACCUCUAGGACAACAUCCUAAAAUUUCAUUACCAUCCAACGGUCGGAUCUCCGUCAAUUUCCAAAACUAAGUGACGGUUAACAUUUUAUAUUAUGGACUUACAAUUCCAAUUCCGGAAGAUCCGUAACUCGGAUUCCCAAUCCGUAAGUUCCAAUAAUCCUCAAAUAUUACGUAUUACAACGUAUCAAAUUUUGGUGACGAUCCAACGGUCGGAUCAUCAAUUCACAUUUUCACCUAAAUGUGAAAACUAUAAAACGUUAUUUGAACACCUAACCAACAAUCCUCAAUAACUUUCUCAUACGGUGUUCAAUUUAGGUAUAUGAAUAUACCACAGUGAUCUACUCGACGUCACGGACGUCGACAUAUUUUUAAAAAUAAUUUUAUUUUUAUUUUUUAUUUUUACUGUAGCACCUUCUUCUUCCUUGGGUCGCCGGACUGGUUUUUCCGGCGGCCGUUUUCCGGGCAGUUUUUUCAAAUUGCCAUAACUUUGUCAUUUCUCAACGAAAUCAAGUGAUUCAAAAACGAAAGUUGUAGCCCUUGAAGAGAAAAAGAGAAUGGUACCUUGCACAACACCUAGUUCGCCGUGGUUUGGCCGGAAACUUCCUCGAAAGCCUCGGAGGUCGCCGGAAACUGGGUAUUUUUCAAAUGAGUAUAACUUCUUCAAUACUCAACGAAAUUGAGUGAAACAAAAAGGAAAGUUGUAGUACUUGACGAGACGAAGAGAUUGAUACCUACCUCGACUCCUAACUCGCCGGGUAUUCGCCGGAAAACGCCUCGAAAGCUCCGGCCAAACUUUGAACUUGUCGAUCUCCGUGUUCUUACGUCCAAAAACUUCCAACGAAGCACUCCGAGCUUCCUUGGGACCUUACUAAACUCGCUGUGAUCUUGUUUUAGCCUAAAACGUAACCAAUUCAAAGCUCAUGAACAGUGUCAUCUCACGGCAACUUUAGAACUAGGGUUUUCGAAGUGAAACUCACCUGAAAUUGGUAUCCCCGUGCUCGUGAAGUCCCCAGGAUCACGAUGGUGGUCUUAAAUGGAACGUUGGUACAAGAUUGUGGUGGUUCUUGGUGGUUGCCGUGAGUUCGAGAGUAAGAGAGAGAAUGAGAGAGUUUUCAGAAAAGAAUAAGAGAGAGAGAGAGUCUGGAAUGAAAGAAGAAGAGAGAAGAAAGGUUACGGGUUUUAGGGAGGGAAUUCAGGGUAGGAGGCCCUACCUAAGUCCAAGCACAAAUUAACACAUACAAAUAUAAAUCUAACCCUAGUUUAGGAUCUUAAAGUAAAACAAAUGUCAUACAUUUACACACCUUAAUCCCGUUUAAGGUCACAUUGGUCAUCUCACGUCCUCGGAAUUAAUAAUUCCGGGACGGGCUGUGACA
rnacentral:lncRNA from 1 species